GGUAUAGAAAAUACACUGUUAAAUAUAAGAAUUCACACAAAAUUGUAUUUAUAUCUCAUAUGGUUACCUGAUGUAAAAAUGAGCGCUUCCCCUUUAAGAGUUGUGAUGUCACAUGUGACUUAACUUCCUGUGCUGCUACCUCCUCUUCCCUUUUGUACUGUUAUCUUGUGGAAGAGGUAGGUUUUUCUUUGGUCUCCUGAUAUUUUAUUUAUUUUUAAUCUUCUGAACUUAUAUUUUCACUUAAAUUAAUUUUGUAUAAUGUUAUUUUACUUAUCUGUGUGGUUAAUUGUGUCAUUUUAUACUUUUGAAUAAUAAUCUUAUCUUUAAGUGUGUGGAAGUAAGAGCACAUGGUGAUAAAUGUACAACAUGUGUAUUUUAGAAUCAAAAGGGCAUUACCAUCUAAAAGAGGCUGCUUAUUUGUUUCAUGUGUCAGGUAUGUUUGUUGUAUUUUUCCCUUUUGUACUGUUAUCUUGUGGAAGAGAAUCAAAAGGGCAUUACCAUCUAAAAGAGGCUGCUUAUUUGUUUCAUGUGUCAGGAAAUAAAAUGUUCUUGGAGAAGAACCAAAGCCUGCUGUCCUGUAUCUGAUUCAGUGAGAUCACAACGCAGAGUCCAGUUAAUUCACCGGUGUCGCCGGAUGCAUAUAAAGUUUGGCGUCGCGAGUCACCGGUUACACAAAACCUGAGAUGGAUCCAAAGAUGAAGAAAACAGGGUAGGCAUAGGAGUUUACAUACCAACAUUGAAUAUCAUUUCCAUGCUGCAUACUCCGAUACAGUAGGUGGCGGUAUGCACCUGAUAAGUCAUGGUUGCAAUCUGCCAUAAAACGAAAAAGAAGAAGAAGAAGAAGAAGAAGAAGAGUACGGCUGCGAGUGAUGUCAGCAGGAUCCGCAUGCUGGAUAAGAACAGCAUUUGUGAGACGACAUCAACUCAUCAUCCGAGUGGACAAGAACACCAACAGAGGAAGCCAAGCCGCAAAAACAAUGAAAAAUUGUCAUGACUUUUUAUUUUAAAUAAAAGUUAUGUGAUAAUAAACUUUAAGUGUUGGCUUAAUUAUAGUGUUUUAAAGAUGUUUUGAAAUAAGUUGUUUUAAAAUAAAAAUAACAAUAUUCUGUAUAUGGUAUUUACCCUAUAACAUUUAUAACAAGAGGUGAACAAAGCACCACUUUAGUUUACAGCCCGCAAAUAUGAGAGUUACCUGGAACAUACACAGAACAAGCGGGGAAUAAGCCCCACUUUAAU